GAACAAGCAGUGACCACUAAAAAGUUUAAUUACAACUAAAUCUGGGUUUACAGUGCAGGGUUAGUCCCAUGGAG